ensembl:lncRNA
GCUGCACUGUCUGGCUCAUGCCCCCCCCACACACACCUCCCCACCACUGCAGGGCAGUGAAUAAGUGGCACAGCUCUCGCCUCACCAGCCAAUACCGGUGCAGCAGACGCUCCAUCCAGCCAAUGACUUCCGGGGGGGGGGGGGGGGGGGCAAAGCAUUACUUCUAAUGAAGCAUAUGUGGAGAGAGAGAGAGGCAGACGUGAGGGAAAUGGACGAGGAUUCGCGAUCGCACAGAAAUAUUUUCAGCUUUUUCCGGCUUUAAUGAAGCCGUCGAAAUGAAAAAUGAACAACUCAAAUCUAAUAACUGGAGAAGUUUAGGAGAAAACUUCUCAUGCCGAGCUGAAAGUGGAUUGUGUGUCAGGAGCAUCGAUCGUCUUCUAUGCAGUAAAAGUAUUAAAGGGUUCUACUGAGGUGUUAAAGGGUUCUACUGAGGUGUUAAAGGGUUCUACUGAGGUGUUAAAGGGUUCUACUGAGGUAUUAAAGGGUUUUACUGAGGUAUUAAAGGGUUCUACUGAGGUGUUAAAGGGUUCUACUGAGGUAUUAAAAGGUUCUACUGAGGUAUUAAAGGGUUCUACUGAGGUAUCAAAGGGUUCUAUUGAGGUGUUAAAGGGUUCUACUGCGGUGUUAAAGGGUUCUACUGAGGUAUUAAAAGGUUCUACUGAGGUAUUAAAGGGUUCUACUGAGGUAUCAAAGGGUUUUAUUGAGGUGUUAAAGGGUUCUACUGAGGUAUUAAAGGGUUCUACUGAGGUAUUAUGGUUCCCUGGGUGAAAGUCCUGCGUCGACACGUUUGUCUGCAGCAGCGUCUGUAAAUGGUCUUGAAAAAGAAGAUGAUGAUGAAAAAAGUCAGAAUCAGCGAUGAAAUAAUAAUCAUCUGGCUGUUUAAUUUUAAUGGCGUCUAAUGAAGGUCUGUGUUCGACCUUCACCGCCUUCCUCGCACCUGAGACACUGGCGGUCCUGUGUGUGUGUGUGUGUGUGUGUGUGUGUGUGUGUGUGCUCCUUUGGUUUGAUGCCUAUGGGUUUGUUGCUUGUGUGUGUCUGUGUGCGUCUGUGUGGGAGGGUGCGAAUGUGUGCAAGCAAAUGUCAUCUACCGAGUGUCAAAUGAGGUAAUUAAGAGACUCAGAUUUGUGUGUGUGUGUGUGUGUGUGUGUAAACAUGCAUAUUAGAUUGACAGGAAGAGAGCGAGACAAACAGAAAGAGAAACAGGGAAAACCAUGAAGCAGCUUCCCAACAGUUUAUCUUCAGCACAGACAGGACCUGCUGUAAGGUCACCUGACACACCAGCAGCACGCACUGCCACUCCACACACACACACACACACACACACACACACACACACACACACACACACACACACACACACACACACACACACACACACACUCUAACAACUGUACAGAAUGAUGCAGACGAUAUUCCAGAUAGAUGCAGCUCUUGUAAAUGGAGCACUCAGGUUUUCUGGGGUUUGUGUGUGUGUGUGUGUGCGUGUGUGUGUGUGUGUCCUUCCGUGAACUCUACAAAGGGUCCUUUUGUACAACAGGGCGGUGGCUUUAACGGGUUGUAUGUCCUUGUGUCUCCAGGUGAGAGCUCAGUGUCCACGUUCUUGUCAGAAAGGCAACGAGGAGGCGUGGCCGUCGUGUGCAUCAGCCCCCCCUCGCCGAACAUCAGCACGCGGCCUGCAGAGCUCCAGGUGUCCUCUCAGGUGCCUGUUUUAUUUCUACAUUUUUGUCUCGUCUUGAUGCUUCGGAUCUGAAUUGCCUUCUGAGCAGCGACUGAAGACCCUGUAUUUGUCUUCUCCAGAUUUAUUGUCCAGAAAUCUAGAUGAGACUUUGCUACGUCUGGAAGAGAACCUGGACCUUGUCUUGUUCUUUCCUUUGACUUGAUGAAGUUGCUCCAUUCAAAUACGUGAAAUCUCAACAAUGAGUAUAUCGACUUACUACAGUAACGCCUGGUGUGCUGAUUUACUACAUACUGCGUUUGGCCCCCCGGCAGUGACGCUGGCGUGGACUCUUUGUCUUAAAGGCUGAUGUGCUACCAGUGUGCACACACACCCUAAACACACACACACACACAGCCUGUGUAAUUCCAUCGUCUGUGACGGCCCGUCCCCGCGUCCUGUGUUUGUUUGCGUUGUAUCCGGUUCCCGGCGCCAUACGCUGUCCGCGGCCAUAGGUAUCAGGCUCUGCGUCGGGCCCCCCGGCUGCUCCCGAGGCCCCGCCUCCUCUCGUGCAAAACAAAGAGCACUCCGGGCCGGCGCCCGGGGCUUCAGGGUGAAAAGUCUCAGACGUGUCGUUUUACCGGGAGCGACUCGUCUUUGAAAUCAGAAAUCAGAGAAACGAUCCCUCCGCCGAUGCAUCGCGGCGGCGACUCGACGAUCCAGGGCGGCCAGCGGCGUCACGUUUAACCGCCGUUUAAUUCCCCCAGUCGUGGAAAUGACAAAUGAGGAGUAGACCUGAGAACUGAGUAAAGGGUCAAGCAACAAGCGUCAGUUUAGCGUGGAGCUAAACGAGCUCUUCAAAAUAAAAUGUCUUGAAUGAAACUCAGUUUCCUCAGUCAGGUUCGAGGGCGAUGAUAAGAACAAGAUGUUCAAUAAAGAAUUCAUCAGUGAGAAUUCAUAGUUGGGGAUGAGCUGAUCAGCAAUGCAUGAUGGGAGAGAAGCCAACAUGGCCGCCACACGCUGCAUCACCUGGAAGCCUCUGUGCCGACAUUGGCUUUUGGGUGUACAAACAAACGAAUCAAGCGCCUCCCUCCCUUUUGACUUGUGCUUUGCAUUUUCCGCUUUUUGUUCUUUUUGACCAUCCUCUAUCUGCAGAAAACUUAUUAUAACAACACUAAAAAUUAAAAAAAACAUCUUUGCCAACUCUUAAGCAAUUCUCCCCCGAAAGCCGUCCGGUAAUCAUUUGGAGCUUGUUUGGAAAUAAAAAAAAGGAUAUUCUUCACGCCGCUGUCCUAGAAAUCUUCUUCCAGCCGCCGCUGUGAAUUCCGUUUGAAGCGCCGCUUGACAGCUUCAUCUGUGAAGCGUCUCAAUUAUGGGCGGAAUAUUUUCCGCCAACAUAUCUCGACGCCCAGACUGUCUCACUAGGACAUGAAAGCCGUCGGCUUAAGGAAGUCAUCGCACACCUCGGCGAGAGAGAGCAGCGCGCACACGCACACGCAUGCAGACGCUGAAAAUAGAGGCAGCGAUCCUGCUAAUGCUCCUCGGCCCAGACGCGUGGAUUUGCAUGUCUUUAAUGUGCGGCCCGCUCUCUCGUAGGAUUGGGCUCGCUGUUGCAUGCUGGGAGCGAGAUUUUUGUAUAAGUGAAGCCUGAAGAAGAUAAAACAGCAGGUCAAAAAUAUUUCAGCAAUUGCUGUAAUUGGAGAUUUUCCUUUUGGAAAGGCGAGACGCUUCCACCUCCCGCUCUCACUUUCUCUCUCCCUCCCUCCCUCUCUCUCCCUCCCUCUCUCUCCCGGGUCUUUCAGGCCACUGUAACGGCCUCCAUCUGGUCUGUGAGGUGGGAGGGUUUUUGGGGGGCACCGGCCCUCCCCGCCGCGCUGCGACCCGGGUCGGUCAACAAUGAGAGCGAGCGCCGCUGGCGGCAUCUCAGGCGAUUAAUCACCGACGAAGACGUUCUUAUGAGUGUUAUAUUUCUGAUAAUCGAAAUGCUCUGAAGGAGAACGUAAGCAUGAAAUGAUCGUUUUCAUCUCAAGUCCUUAUGUGUGACACCUGGAGAGAAGCCAAAAAAAUAAUUUGUGGAAACAUUGGAUUGAAUUGGGGGGCUUCAAAACAUGAAAUGAUUGUUUACGGCUCUAAAAGGGUCAUUUGGGUUCAUUUAUUGGGUGAAUAUUUGUAAUAUAAGAGCUUGCCAACCCUCAUGGUGGGUUUUUUUUUAGAAGACAACAGACGUUCUCUCCUUUCCCUUCAAACAUAACCAGAAAAUAAAUGUGACUUUAUGUUUAAUUUGUCACAAAUCCUCCUGGCGUCGAUGCUUGCACCCAGAUCACCGAAGACUAAAGGCUCGUGUUUCCAUCGAGCAGAUGAGGGUUUGUAAUGAUAAUAAUCACGAUAAUAAUAUAUGGUAAUCGCUCAGAGGGGAGCCGAGGAGCCUGAGCUCCGUUUAUUUACGAAAAACGUCUCUCUGCAGUCCAAGCGUCCCAUGAUCCAAACACAGUUUGACUUCCUCAGGAGCCUCUGAACGUAAACCCCCCUCGUUCAAAUAAAGCCAGCUGAUCAGUCGCUCGUCAGCUCAUCUUCACAAAUAGAGCCGCAGGCGUCAUCCGACCCGCUCACAUUCCACGUCUUCAUAGUUUAUUAUAGUUUUUUGGGGAUGGAGGAAAAAAAUUCUCCCCGGCUGUGGUUCCAGUAAUCUGAUCCAGGAUCAAAUAAUAAAUCCAGGAACAAAAACACUCCUGCAAUAUAUAAAGCUCAAAUAACUGAUUGCAUGUUUUAUUUUAAGGGGGGCUUUAUUUAGGGGGGAUCAGGCGAAGUUGUACUCCAUCAUGAUGACAUGGCUUAUUGAAAUGCUUUUACAAAGAGUUUCUAUCAGAGCUCUAAAGGUGCCUUCACACCUGUGUGAGUCAUGGCCAUGAAGGUUGAAACUGUGCUUCAGGACCGCGGACAGCGCCCACCCGCCAUUUGGGCCGAUAACGAUAAAGUUCAUCAUAUUUCCCCCCAAAAAUGAUUAAAGUAUGAACAGAAGGAAAUGGGUUUCUUAUCAACUGGAAAUAUGAAUAUAUAAUCCCCCCCAGUCUACAGGGGAAAGUAACUUUAACCCCACAUCUACAUUUAGAAUGUAGGUGCAGGAACUCAGUAGAGGUUCACCCUCAGUUCUGUCUCAUUCUCUGUUCCACUGUCUGUCUGUCUUUCUGUCCCCGUCCCUCUGUCCCCCUGUCUUUCCCUCUCCGGCCGGUGGAAGAACGCCGGGCUCGGUGCCAGCCAGCCGGGGCGCCAGUUGGGCCGUCCAUCAGUCGCAUUAAAGACAUGUUAUCCAGCCGAGUGUAUCCGCCUGGCUUAGAGCCCUGAUCCCCUGCUUAGAGCCCCCCCACGCUGCCCCUCGACUCACUCUGGGGGGGGGUCACAGAGUCCCCUUCUUGCUUUAUCAGCGCCGCACCCAGGCAUCCAGCUCGCUGCUUUGGGUCUCUUAAAACACGUACGCAAAUAAAUGAGUAGGCCGCUGGAAAUAACUGCCCUCUCAUCUCCGGCCAAGCGGCCUGCCACUCAGGUCUUUGUCUUUAAAGGGACGGGGGGGGGGGGGAGCGCUGACCUCCACUCAGAUCCGCCUCUUCAAGAACACAAAGUCAGCAGGGUUUAUUUAGCCCCCUCGUAGCGCAGCGCAGAUGAAAGGUCUCACGGAGGCUUUAAAAGGGCCGUUUGUUUCACGUUACAUCGACUUUAUGCCCCUUUUCAUCGCGGCGGAAAUCAGUGCUUUUGCUCUUUUGGAUUCUGGGUGAAGACCAGGACUUGUGUUGUGUUCUGUCCUCAUUCUCUCUGCUUCAAUAUAAUGGUCAUUGUCGUCGUUGCCGUCGAGUGGUUUUGAAGUGUCACUUGAAGGGUCAGUUCUGAAGCUGCCCUCUGAAACCUCGGACUCGUGGACAGCGUUUUCUAUCCCAUUAGAGGCUCCAGAGCAGCCUGAUAUACCUGAUUACCAUUUCGUUCCCAUUCACCGUUGGAGAGGUUCAGGUUAUCUUGAGUACAUGUUAGCGUCAUGUGAUAAAAAGAAUAGACUCUUUAGGCCAGGGUUCUCAAACCCCCGGCCCGCCGAGGGGGGGGACCGACUUUGGCGUAGUGUCAGCGCCGGAGGAUUCAUUAAAAGGUAAAAAAAUACCAUCAUGACACCGAAUAAAAACAUACACAGUCUGACUUUGAAGCCCAAAAUGAUGAUCAAUAAAUAAUCAGGUAAACACAGUUUUGUAAAUAAGUUAAACUGGUGCAUUCCCAUCAAACGGUGCCGUGGCGUCUCCUCUACUGCCCACGAGUAUUUACCCAGCAUGCAGUUCGGCGCUGUGGCGCUCCACAGCGGGACAAUCUUUGCAAACAAUAUUACAUUUCUUGACAUUUUAACAGUCAACAGUAUUUAUUAUUAUAAUACGGGUAGAUGAAAUCCAGCGUUGUGAUUGGUUGAGAGUCCCAGGGGCACAUUAUUGAGCGAUAAUGUGCAUUUGCUGUUCACACGUAUCACCGCGCACUCAAAGUAUCAGGUUUUGAUUUUGCGUUAGUUGACUUGUCAUGAGUUUUGUCAUGAGAUACACAAAUGAGAUACACAACGUUUGGUGGCUACGACUAUUUUGUGCUGAAAGGCAGCUUUUUGUUUGAGGACAUAACCUCUUUAAAUGAACGUUUGUCACUGAUUGUGAUUUGUGAUUUGGUUUAAAUCUCAGAUUAUUAGACGUUUUCUAACACUGGCCUUUGUGCUAAUUGACGGACUCCAGUUCUCAUUCUUCAGAAGUAAUCUGCUUUCAAUAGACCUUCACUACCCAAGUCUCUCCAUUCCUACCUCCUCCUCCUCCUCUUCUUCUGUCCUAGCUCCUCAUCCCUUUAAGGCUUACUCCCUACCUCCUUCACCUCCUCCUUCUCUCCUCUCCUACCUCUCCAUCCCUCCUAGGCCUCUUUUACUCCUCCUCCUUCCUGCUGCACCUCAGUUUGCCCUCAACUUAUUCACCUCUUUCGCUCUGUAUUUUAUCUCCAUUCUCCAUUCCAGAAGCCCCCAGCCCCCCCCCUCAGCCCCCCAGCCCCCCCCCCUCAGCCCCCCAUCCAUUUCACUACCUUUUUUUUGCUAUAAGUAAUUCACCCGCCCUGCCUCCACCUGGAGACGCCGCCGAGCCUUCUUCUCAGAUUCCAGGCAUGUUUCUCCUCCGGCCGGGCUUCCUCCGGCUGGCUGACUCACAACGUAGCAGCAUAAAUUACCACGAGUCCUUACACAACCCGUGCACACACACAUACAACCCGUGCACACACACACACAACCCGUGCACACACACAUACAACCCGUGCACACACACAUACAACCCGUGCACACACACAUACAACCCGUGCACACACACAUACAAGCCCCGUGCACACACACACACAACCCGUGCACACACACACAACCUGUGCACACACACACACAACCCGUGCACACACACAUACAAGCCGUGCACACACACACACAACCCGUGCACACACACACACAACCCGUGCACACACACAUACAACCCGUGCACACACACAACCACAACCUGUGCACACACACACACACCCGUGUACACACACAACCACAACCUGUGCACACACACACACAACCCGUGCGCACACACACACAACCCGUGCGCACACACACACAACCCGUGCACACACACACAACC